AACAUCGCGCACCUGCGGGAACCUGCGGAGGGAUCAUUACAAAAGAGGGGCGGGUCGAGAGACUCGUCCGAAUGUGCGAUGCCGCAAGGCAUCGAUACACGCGCUUGUAUGUUUGUCAGAGUAAAAGGAUACACAAAUAUAGACAACUUUCAACAAUGGAUCU
rnacentral:misc_RNA from 1 species